ACAGAAAAAGGACCUGCUUAGAAGAGAUAGACACCCCCCUGGAGUGUCUACAAUGCUAUAUAUGGAUCAUUCUAUUUGUAUACAGUCAUUUCCCUCUAAUUGGAAAAUUUGAAUCUGACUCUGAACACCAGCACUCACUAAUGAUAAUGACAAUGCAGAGGUUUCUUUCUGAAGCUCCUGCCUGCCACGAGGAGUCUUGAAGAUGUGCAGAGAGAAGGGGGAAAGAUUCCCAAAGCAUUGUGAGACAUCGGAUUAGACGACAGAUAGACUGUCUAAGGAGACAUCCCCCAGUCUCAGCAACCUGAUUAGCCCCGAAACCCUAGUAUGGCCUGGGUAUCCUGUUCCUCUCUCCAGAGGUGUCAGACGUUCAAUCUUCACAUGUGAACCACAACACUCUC